UACCGAGCGGUAGCACAGAGAGCUUGCUCUCGGGUGACGAGCGGCGGACGGGUGAGUAAUGUCUGGGAAACUGCCUGAUGGAGGGGGAUAACUACUGGAAACGGUAGCUAAUACCGCAUAAUGUCGCAAGACCAAAGUGGGGGACCUUCGGGCCUCAUGCCAUCAGAUGUGCCCAGAUGGGAUUAGCUAGUAGGUGGGGUAACGGCUCACCUAGGCGACGAUCCCUAGCUGGUCUGAGAGGAUGACCAGCCACACUGGAACUGAGACACGGUCCAGACUCCUACGGGAGGCAGCAGUGGGGAAUAUUGCACAAUGGGCGCAAGCCUGAUGCAGCCAUGCCGCGUGUGUGAAGAAGGCCUUCGGGUUGUAAAGCACUUUCAGCGGGGAGGAAGGCGUUGAGGUACCGGCAUACCUUGUCGAUUGACGUUACCCGCAGAAGAAGCACCGGCUAACUCCGUGCCAGCAGCCGCGGUAAUACGGAGGGUGCAAGCGUUAAUCGGAAUUACUGGGCGUAAAGCGCACGCAGGCGGUCUGUCAAGUCGGAUGUGAAAUCCCCGGGCUCAACCUGGGAACUGCAUUCGAAACUGGCAGGCUAGAGUCUUGUAGAGGGGGGUAGAAUUCCAGGUGUAGCGGUGAAAUGCGUAGAGAUCUGGAGGAAUACCGGUGGCGAAGGCGGCCCCCUGGACAAAGACUGACGCUCAGGUGCGAAAGCGUGGGGAGCAAACAGGAUUAGAUACCCUGGUAGUCCACGCCGUAAACGAUGUCGAUUUGGAGGUUGUGCCCUUGAGGCGUGGCUUCCGGAGCUAACGCGUUAAAUCGACCGCCUGGGGAGUACGGCCGCAAGGUUAAAACUCAAAUGAAUUGACGGGGGCCCGCACAAGCGGUGGAGCAUGUGGUUUAAUUCGAUGCAACGCGAAGAACCUUACCUGGUCUUGACAUCCACAGAACUUUCCAGAGAUGGAUUGGUGCCUUCGGGAACUGUGAGACAGGUGCUGCAUGGCUGUCGUCAGCUCGGGAACGACAAUGUUGGGUUAAGUCCCGCAACGAGCGCAACCCUUAUCCUUUGUUGCCAGCGGUUCGGCCGGGAACUCAAAGGAGACUGCCAGUGAUAAACUGGAGGAAGGUGGGGAUGACGUCAAGUCAUCAUGGCCCUUACGACCAGGGCUACACACGUGCUACAAUGGCAUAUACAAAGAGAAGCGACCUCGCGAGAGCAAGCGGACCUCAUAAAGUAUGUCGUAGUCCGGAUUGGAGUCUGCAACUCGACUCCAUGAAGUCGGAAUCGCUAGUAAUCGUAGAUCAGAAUGCUACGGUGAAUACGUUCCCGGGCCUUGUACACACCGCCCGUCACACCAUGGGAGUGGGUUGCAAAAGAAGUAGGUAGCUUAACCUUCGGGAGGGCGAACUA
rnacentral:rRNA from 1 species